rnacentral:rRNA from 1 species
GACGAACGCUGGCGGCGUGCCUAAUACAUGCAAGUUGAGCGAUGAAGAUUGGUGCUUGCACCAAUUUGAAGAGCAGCGAACGGGUGAGUAACGCGUGGGGAAUCUGCCUUUGAGCGGGGGACAACAUUUGGAAACGAAUGCUAAUACCGCAUAACAACUUUAAACAUAAGUUUUAAGUUUGAAAGAUGCAAUUGCAUCACUCAAAGAUGAUCCCGCGUUGUAUUAGCUAGUUGGUGAGGUAAAGGCUCACCAAGGCGAUGAUACAUAGCCGACCUGAGAGGGGGAGGGGCAACAUGGGGGGUGGAAACGGGCCCAAACCCAUCGGGGAGGAAGGAGGGGGGAAUCUUGGGGAAUGGAGGAAAGUCUGAACGGACAAGGGCGGGGGAGUGAAGGAGGUUUUGGGAUCGAAAAACUCGGUUGGAAGAGAAAAACGUGGGGGGGAGGGGAAAGCACAUAAAGUGACGGUAACUACCCAAAAAGGGACGGCUAACUACGU